CCAGGCCGUAGCGGGACACCGAGCCGUAGGUCGGCUUGACGCCGACGGUGCCGGUGACGGCGCCGGGCUGGCGGAUCGAGCCGCCGGUGUCGG
rnacentral:tRNA from 2 species